CGGAAUCUGCCUAUUUGUGGGGGAUAACGUAGGGAAACUUACGCUAAUACCGCAUACGACCUACGGGUGAAAGCGGAGGACCUUCGGGCUUCGCGCAGAUAGAUGAGCCGAUGUCGGAUUAGCUAGUUGGCGGGGUAAAGGCCCACCAAGGCGACGAUCCGUAGCUGGUCUGAGAGGAUGAUCAGCCACACUGGAACUGAGACACGGUCCAGACUCCUACGGGAGGCAGCAGUGGGGAAUAUUGGACAAUGGGCGCAAGCCUGAUCCAGCCAUGCCGCGUGGGUGAAGAAGGCCUUCGGGUUGUAAAGCCCUUUUGUUGGGAAAGAAAAGCAGUCGGUUAAUACCCGAUUGUUCUGACGGUACCCAAAGAAUAAGCACCGGCUAACUUCGUGCCAGCAGCCGCGGUCAUACGAAGGGUGCAAGCGUUACUCGGAAUUACUGGGCGUAAAGCGUGCGUAGGUGGUUUGUUAAGUCUGAUGUGAAAGCCCUGGGCUCAACCUGGGAAUUGCAUUGGAUACUGGCAGGCUAGAGUGCGGUAGAGGGUAGUGGAAUUCCCGGU
rnacentral:rRNA from 1 species